rnacentral:rRNA from 1 species
GUGACCUCAAAUCAGGUAGGACUACCCGCUGAACUUAAGCAUAUCAAUAAGCGGAGGAAAAGAAACUAACAAGGAUUCCCCUAGUAACUGCGAGUGAAGCGGGAAAAGCUCAAAUUUAAAAUCUGGCGGUUUUUUUGGCCGUCCGAGUUGUAAUCUAGAGAAGUGUUAUCCGCGCUGGACCGUGUACAAGUCUCCUGGAAUGGAGCAUCAUAGAGGGUGAGAAUCCCGUCUUUGACAUGGACUGCCAGGGCUUUGUGAUGCGCUCUCAAAGAGUCGAGUUGUUUGGGAAUGCAGCUCAAAAUGGGUGGUAAAUUCCAUCUAAAGCUAAAUAUUGGCGAGAGACCGAUAGCGAACAAGUACCGUGAGGGAAAGAUGAAAAGAACUUUGGAAAGAGAGUUAAACAGUACGUGAAAUUGCUGAAAGGGAAACGCUUGAAGUCAGUCGCGUCGUCCAGGGAUCAACCUUGCUUUUGCUUGGUGCACUUUCUGGUUUGACGGGUCAGCAUCAAUUUUGACUAUUGGAAAAAGGCUAAGGGAAUGUGGCAUCUUUGGAUGUGUUAUAGCCCUUGGUCACAUACAAUGGUUGGGAUUGAGGAACUCAGCAUGCCGCAAGGCCGGGUU